rnacentral:rRNA from 1 species
AUUGAACGCUGGCGGCAGGCUUAACACAUGCAAGUCGAGCGGGGGAAGGUAGCUUGCUACCGGACCUAGCGGCGGACGGGUGAGUAAUGCUUAGGAAUCUGCCUAUUAGUGGGGGACAACAUCUCGAAAGGGAUGCUAAUACCGCAUACGUCCUACGGGAGAAAGCAGGGGAUCUUCGGACCUUGCGCUAAUAGAUGAGCCUAAGUCGGAUUAGCUAGUUGGUGGGGUAAAGGCCUACCAAGGCGACGAUCUGUAGCGGGUCUGAGAGGAUGGUCCGCCACACUGGGACUGAGACACGGCCCAGACUCCCACGGGAGGCAGCCGUGGGGAAUAUUGGACCAUGGGGGGAACCCUGAUCCAGCCAUGCCGCGUGUGUGAAGAAGGCCUUAUGGUUGUAAAGCACUGUAAGCGAGGAGGAGGCUACUUUAGUUAAUACCUAGGGGUAGUGGACGUUACUCGCAGAAUAAGCACCGGCUAACUCUGUG